rnacentral:rRNA from 1 species
UUCCCCUUCGGGGGACAGGGUGACAGGUGGUGCAUGGUUGUCGUCAGCUCGUGUCGUGAGAUGUUGGGUUAAGUCCCGCAACGAGCGCAACCCUCGACCUUAGUUGCCAGCAUUCAGUUGGGCACUCUAAGGUGACUGCCGGCUAAAAGUCGGAGGAAGGUGGGGAUGACGUCAAAUCAUCAUGCCCCUCAUGACCUGGGCUACACACGUGCUACAAUGGGCGGCACAAAGGGUCGCGAACCCGCGAGGGGGAGCCAAUCCCAAAAAGCCGCUCUCAGUUCGGAUUGCAGGCUGCAACUCGCCUGCAUGAAGCCGGAAUCGCUAGUAAUCGCGGAUCAGCAUGCCGCGGUGAAUACGUUCCCGGGCCUU